rnacentral:misc_RNA from 1 species
GAUGAAGAACGUAGUGAAAUGCGAUAAGUAAUGUGAAUUGCAGAAUUCAAUGAAUCAUCGAAUCUUUGAACGCACCUUGCGCCUUUUGGUAUUCCGAAAGGCACACCUGUUUGAGCGUCAUGAAUACCUCAAUCUCCAUCUUUUCUUCGGAUUGAUGGGUGACUUGGAUGUUGAGCCCUGCUGGUAUGCUAUAUCAGCUGGCUUUAAACUUAUUAGCCGGCUCUGUACUGGAUCGGUUUGACUCGACGUGAUAAUAUUAUCGUUGAGGAUGCAUGUCUCAUGCAGCCGGAAAGUAUCAAAGCAGCUUCUAGCUUGCCUUUAGUGCACUUUUACAUUUUAGACCUCAGAUCAGGUGGGACUACCCGCUGAACUUAAGCAUAUCAAUAAGCGGAGGA